rnacentral:lncRNA from 1 species
GCAUAAAGGGAACGGGUGGGGACACAGGGCCCCUGCAGCCUCAGGAGGAUCAGCAGUGGCCUGGUUUACUCGUGUCGUCAUUCGUCGUGGGCACCUUGUCCCCGGGGCCGGCCAGUUACUUGGCCUCCUGGCUCAUCAUCCUGCCGGAAGCAUCUCCAGCUUGGGGAUGUUGGAGGGUCCCUGGCCCCACCUGGCUGGGGAUGGAGUGUGAAUUCAUUGUACCUGCCUGGCCCCUGAAGGAGCCGAGGAGAUGCCAUGUGAGGGUGCAGCGAGGAGUUGGGCUGUCUAAAAGCAAAGAAAGAGAUUGCAUCAGACACCGCAUCUGCUGACACCUUGUUCUUGGACUUCCAGCUUCCAAAACCGCGAGAAAUAAAUGUCUGUGUCUAAACCCCAACCCUACCACCUCAAC